CCUGCGUAUAAGAGAGUUCAAACUACAGCUGCUCGAGUACCACUUGCAAAGGGCACAAUAAAGGAUGAAAGAACAUGUCAACAAGCAUAGGUCUGACAGAGUUUUCAAAAAGGAGAAUGGGUCUACUUAAAGAUUAAACCCUACAGACAUGUCACUAUGUCCUCCAUACAUUUCUCCAAGAUAUCAGUUAAAUUCUAUGGCCCUUAUCAUAUUCUAUAAUAAGUUGGACCUCUCGCAUACAAACUCAUUACCUCCUCAACUAUUGCUUCACCCUACUUUUUAUGUGUCCCAACUCAAGGCAUGUUAUGAGCUGCCGGAUAGCAUUUCACACCCUCAUAUCUUAGAACUCUCCAGCCCGUAUUGUCCUCAACCUGAAAAACUUUUGGACGACGUAUGAUUUAGAAAGGUAACAAGGUUGUAGCACAAAUGUUGAUUCAGUGGAAUGAUCUACCACUAGAACAUUCCACAUGGGAAGAUUAUCAGGCACUCAAGGUUCGAUUUCCCACCUUUCUUCCUCGAGGACAAGGAAGAUUUUAAUGGGGAAAGACUGAUAUGAG
rnacentral:lncRNA from 1 species